UACAGAGGUCCCAAGCGUUGUUCGGAUUCAUUGGGCGUAAAGGGCGCGUAGGCGGCGGCUUGAGUCCCUGCGUGAAAUCUCCCGGCUCAACCGGGAGGGUGCGCGGGAUACUGGGCGGCUUGAGGACAUCAGAGGAGAGCGGAAUCCCCGGUGUAGUGGUGAAAUGCGUAGAUAUCGGGGGGAACACCAGUGGCGAAGGCGGCUCUCUGGGGUGCACCUGACGCUGAUGCGCGAAAGCGUGGGGAGCGAACCGG
rnacentral:rRNA from 1 species